rfam:Oryza glaberrima chromosome 2 Oglab02_unplaced058_1, whole genome shotgun sequence.
UUUACACUGUUUAUGUUGAACGUUUUACCGUCCGUCUUAUUUAAAAAAAUUAUAAUAAUUAUUUUGUUGUUAUUAGAUGAUAAAACAUGGAUAAUACUUUAUAUGUGACAAUUUUAAAAAAAUCAUUAAUUUUUUUUAAAUAAGACGGAUAGUUAAACGUUAGACAUAGAAACAUACAACUGUAGUUAAA